rnacentral:rRNA from 1 species
UACGGAGGAUGCAAGCGUUAUCCGGAAUGAUUGGGCGUAAAGCGUCCGCAGGUGGCUGUGUAAGUCUGCUGUUAAAGAGUGAGGCUCAACCUCAUAAAAGCAGUGGAAACUACACGGCUAGAGUGCGUUCGGGGCAGAGGGAAUUCCUGGUGUAGCGGUGAAAUGCGUAGAUAUCUGGAGGAAUACCGGUGGCGAAGGCGGCAUCCUGGACCAUUACUGACGCUGAGGCGCGAAAGCUAGGGGAGCAAACGGG